rnacentral:lncRNA from 1 species
AUUCAAUCAAAUUCCAACAACCCAACCAGGGCCAGUCAAAUCCACCACAGUCUCGCGCUGAGCUAGGAAUAAAGUUCACGUAAUCACAUGAGAGUGGAGAAAACAGUCCCCCAUCCGUAAGUUCAAAUCAACUCAAAGUUCACAGUGUGACAUGAUGGCGUCAUGUAACAAGGCUAAGAAUCGGUUGCAUGACAAUUGCCGUCAAGUUUCGUGGAGGUGCUGUGAUUGGAGCGUUUUUCUUGGAUGUUGUAUCAGUUGAUGAUUGGCCAGUCAUGAUCACACGUGCAUUUUCUUGACUUUUGUGCUGCCACAAUCUUUUUUGCUGUGCUCAUUUUCGUUUCGUUCUUGGUGCUUGCAGUG